UGGUUGUCUCUUGCACUAAUACUUUUGGAAUUUUCUUGCUAUUUUUAGACAUAUUUUGCAUAUAAACACUGGACUCAAUCAUUUUCGCUUAACCAAAUAGUCAUUCUACUAACUGUUGCUUUUCUACAAAGACUUCGCUGACAACUGCUAAUGGAAAUUUACACCGCAGAGUAUUAAGUUGGAUUUUAAUGAAUAUGCAUGAGAGGAGCGGCCAGCUGUGUGACCCAAUCGUCCUACACUUUUUUGUAACUAUGUAGGUCUUUUGAGGACUUUGGCUGGACUUGGAAUUGGCCCGAUAUGUUCCAGUUUGUUGAUAAAUGUCAAUUCGGUGAAUUUCAAGAACGCUGAAAUCCGAUAACUCAACAAAAUUCAAUAGCUCAACAAAUUUCGAUAAUUUUCGAUAACUGUGCGUUUCGAGGGCUCGAUAAAAUUCGAUAACACAAAAAUUUAUAUCUCUCGAGAUAAGUUCAACGAACUCGAUGUAUUACGAUAACUUAAUAAAUUUGUAUAGUUCGAUAACAAUCCGUUAA